GUGCUAACUUUGGCAGCACAUAUACUAAAAUUGGGAGAAUGCGAAGAAGAUUAGCAUGGGCCCUGCACAAGGAUGACAUCCAAAUAUGUGAAAUGUUUCCAAAACAA